rnacentral:rRNA from 1 species
ACUCCUACGGGAGGCAGCAGUGAGGAAUAUUGGUCAAUGGCCGUAAGGCUGAACCAGCCAAGUAGCGUGCAGGAUGACGGCCCUAUGGGUUGUAAACUGCUUUUAAACGGGGAUAAAGUGAGCCACGUGUGGUUUAUUGCAGGUACCGUUUGAAUAAGGACCGGCUAAUUCCGUGCCAGCGAGCCGCGGUAAUU